AGUGAACGCUGGCGGUAGGCCUAACACAUGCAAGUCGAACGGCAGCACAGUAAGAGCUUGCUCUUACGGGUGGCGAGUGGCGGACGGGUGAGGUAUACAUCGGACUCUACUUUUUCGUGGGGGAUCACGUAGGGAAACUUACGCUUAUACCGCAUACUACCUACGGGUGAAAGCAGGGGAUCUUCGGACCUUGCGCGCUUGUAUGAGCCGAUGUCGGAUUAGCUAGUUGGCGGGGUAAAGGCCCACCAAGGCGACGAUCCGUAGCUGGUCUGAGAGGAUGAUCAGCCAAACUGGAAAUGAGAAAAGGGCCAGACUCCUACGGGAGGCAGCAGUGGGGAAUAUUGGACAAUGGGCGCAAGCCUGAUCCAGCCAUACCGCGUGGGUGAAGAAGGCCUUCGGGUUGUAAAGCCCUUUUGUUGGGAAAGAAAAGCAGCAGGUUAAUAACCCGCUGUUCUGACGGUAACCAAAGAAUAAGCACCGGCUAACUUCGUG
rnacentral:rRNA from 1 species